UACGGAGGGUGCGAGCGUUGUCCGGAAUCACUGGGCGUAAAGGGCGCGUAGGUGGCGCGGGCAGUCAACGGUGAAAGCUCGGGCUCAACCCCGAGUCGGCCGUCGAUACUCCCGUGCUUGAGCACUGUAGAGGCAGAUGGAAUUCCGGGUGUAGCGGUGGAAUGCGUAGAGAUCCGGAAGAACACCGGUGGCGAAGGCGGUCUGCUGGCGAGUA
rnacentral:rRNA from 1 species